UUUCCCCCCCCCUCUCUGUACUUCUUCUUGUUGUCGUCGAGGAUUGAGACGCAACACUGUUGUCUCAUUCGUAUAUUGCAUUGUGUGGUUGCUGUUGUACUAAGCACAACAGUCGUUACUCAAUUUAAGUCCAGUAUUCAAUUCUGCAGGGGUUGUGUUCAGUCCAAGUGAGCUCAGCUUUAAAUAAGAGGCUGUGGGCUUUUGUAUUAAAGGCUGAGCUAAACAGCAUUCCAACCAGUGGGUUCUUCUUUUCCAGAUGUUCCGGGGACAGCCAUAGAGGUGAUAUCCUCAGUCGAGCAGUUUUGGCAGAUUGAAGUGGGUCAAGUUAAGGGAUGGAGGCGGGACGGGGCUGGAAAGGGGGCUGAGGGUGCCGUCCAGUGUUUCACCCAUGCAGGGGGUCAAAGUAGCCAAGACCGCUUCUGUGUGCAUGGGCCCUUUUUUGCCAGUCUGACUGCUUUGUUCAGUCUGGCUCCUGCUGUCCUGAGAUCAGCUGUAUCUCCAGAUCGACAGUCUCAGUGUCAGCGGGGGCUCGUCAUCCACGGUUUCUCAUUUGUCCUUAUUUUUAUGUGUUUUCUUGUGCGAACUUCCUCUACACAUGUAGGUUGAUCCAGUCUCUGGCUCUCCUCAACAUUGACCUGCUGUUUUUUGAUGGCAGCCUUUUUAAAAAUGUACACGUGGGUGCAAUAUAAACCAACUCUGCAGUUCAAAUAAUCAAUCAAACAUGACAUAUUAUUUUUAAUAUUGUGUUGAUUUGUGAGAAUAUUCUGAAAGUCCACUGUUUUCAUGCGUUUUUGGCAGCAGACCGUGUUCCCCUGUUUACCUGUCUGCAUGUAGAUUCUUGACUCUGACUGAGGACGCCUUCUGCCAGUUUCUCAAUGUAGACCUCAGAAAAGGUAGAAGCUGUUCUGUCCUCGAGGUAUAAUAAUAAUGGAUUGGAUUUA